GCAUAUCAAUAAGCGGAGGAAAAGAAACUAACAAGGAUUCCCCUAGUAACUGCGAGUGAAGCGGGAAAAGCUCAAAUUUAAAAUCUGGCGGUCUUUGGCCGUCCGAGUUGUAUUCUGGAGAAGUGCUUUCCGCGCUGGACCGUGUAUAAGUCUCUUGGAACAGAGCGUCAUAGAGGGUGAGAAUCCCGUCUUUGACACGGACUACCAGUGCUUUGUGAUGCGCUCUCAAAGAGUCGAGUUGUUUGGGAAUGCAGCUCAAAAUGGGUGGUAAAUUCCAUCUAAAGCUAAAUAUUGGCGAGAGACCGAUAGCGAACAAGUACCGUGAGGGAAAGAUGAAAAGCACUUUGGAAAGAGAGUUAAACAGUACGUGAAAUUGUUGAAAGGGAAACGCUUGAAGUCAGUCGCGUUAGCCGGAACUCAGCCUUGCCUUCCGCUUGGUGUAUUUUCCGGUUGACGGGCCAGCAUCGAUUUUGACUGCUGGACAAGGGCUAGCGGAAUGUGGCACCUUCGGGUGUGUUAUAGCCGCUGGUCGCAUACAGUAGUUGGGAUCGAGGACCGCAGCUUCGGCUUAGGAUGCUGGCGUAAUGGCUUUAAACGACCCGUCUUGAAACACGGACCAAGGAGUCUAACAUGCCUGCGAGUGUUUGGGUGGAAAACCCGAGCGCGUAAUGAAAGUGAUAGUUGAGACCUCUGUCGUGGAGGGCAUCGACGCCCGGACCUGAUCUUCGGUGACGGAUCUGCGGUAGAGCAUGUAUGUUGGGACCCGAAAGAUGGUGAACUAUGCCUGAAUAGGGUGAAGCCAGAGGAAACUCUGGUGGAGGCUCGUAGCGAUUCUGACGUGCAAAUCGAUCGUCAAAUUUGGGGUAUAGGGGGCGAAAGACUAAUCGAACCAUCUAGUAGCUGGGUUCCUGCCGAG
rnacentral:rRNA from 1 species